rnacentral:rRNA from 1 species
AAAAGUAAGUAAGGGCACAUGGCGGAUGCCUUGGCUCUCGGAGGCGAUGAAGGACGUGAUAAGCUGCGAUAAGCUGCGGGUAGGUGCAAAUGACCUUUGAUCCGCGGAUUUCCGAAUGGGACAACCCGGUACUUUGAAGAAGUAUCAUCCUGCAUUGCAGGAGGCUAACGCAGGGAACUGAAACAUCUUAGUACCUGCAGGAAAAGAAAAUAAACAAUGAUUCCCCCAGUAGUGGCGAGCGAACGGGGAACAGCCCAAACCAUCCAUGUUACGGCAUGGGUGGGGUUGUAGGACCACGCCGUGGCAAGAAAGUUGGUGAGCAGAAUGUUCUGGAAAGUACAGCCAUAGAGCAUGACAGCUGCGUAUGCGAAGCCAAGCGAAGCCUAGUGGUAUCCUGAGUAGCGCGGAGCACGAGGAAUUCUGCGUGAAUCUGCCGGGACCAUCCGGUAAGGCUAAAUACUCCCGAGAGACCGAUAGUGAACCAGUACUGUGAAGGAAAGGUGAAAAGCACUUCGAACAGAAGAGUGAAAUAGUUCCUGAAACCAUGUGCCUACAAGCGGUCGGAGCACCUUUUGGUGUGACGGCGUGCCUUUUGCAUAAUGAACCUACGAGUUACUUUUUCCGGCGAGGUUAAGGAUUUCAGAUCUGCAGCCGAAGCGAAAGCGAGUCUGAACAGGGCGUAUAGUCGGAAGGAGUAGACGCGAAACCAAGUGAUCUACCCUUGGGCAGGUUGAAGGAUGGGUAACACCAUCUGGAGGACCGAACCAAUAAGCGUUGAAAAGCUUCUGGAUGACCUGAGGGUGGGGGUGAAAGGCUAAUCAAACUUGGAGAUAGCUCGUACUCCCCGAAAUGCAUUUAGGUGCAGCCUUGACUUAUACUGGCAUGAGGUAGAGCGACUGAUAAGAUGCGAGGGCUUCACCGCCUAUCAAGUCUUGACAAACUCCGAAUGCGUGUCAGUUCUAUGUCAGGAGUGAGGGCAUGGGUGCUAAGGUCCAUGUCCUAAAGGAGAACAAUCCGGACCAACAGCUAAGGUCCCGAAAUGAAUACUAAGUUGAACUAACGAAGUCAGAUUGCUAAGACAGCUAGGAUGUUGGCUUGGAAGCAGCCAUUCAUUUAAAGAGUGCGUAACAGCUCACUAGUCGAGGAGUUUGGCGUGGAUAAUAAUCGGGCAUAAGUAUUCUACCGAAGCUUUGGGAUGAGAAAUCAUCGGUAGGGGAGCAUUCCACUCGGCGUCGAAGGUGAGGCGCGAGCUUUGCUGGAGCGUGUGGAAAAGCAAAUGUAGGUAUAAGUAACGAUAAGGCAGGCGAGAAACCUGCCCGCCGAAAGACUAAGGUUUCCUGAUCAACGCUAAUCGGAUCAGGGUAAGUCGGGUCCUAAGGCUCAGCCGAACGGCGAGGCCGAUGGCAGAACCGGUUAAUAUUCCGGUACUACCUGUGGGAGUGACGUGGAGACGGAGUCGUGACAGCGCCGCGGACUGACGGAAUAGUCCGUUGAAGGGUGUAGAUGCUGAUUGUUCCAGGCAAAUCCGGAGCAAGAGUCGAACCUGAUAGUAUGGAGCGUUCUUAGAACAAUCCAAUAGUGCGUGUAAUCAUACUUCCAAGAAAAUCCGCUAAACUUAAUCCUGCAGGUACCCGUACCGCAAACGGACACACGUAGUCGGGUUGAAUAUACUAAGGCGCUUGAGUGAUUCACGGUUAAGGAACUAGGCAAACUGACCCUGUAACUUCGGGAUAAAGGGUCCUCGCUUAACGGCGAGGCGCAGAGAAUAGGUCCAGGCAACUGUUUAACAAAAACACAGGGCUGUGCAAAAUUGAAAGAUGAAGUAUACAGCCUGACACCUGCCCGGUGCUGGAAGGUUAAGAGGAGAUGUCAUCGCAAGAGAAGCAUUGAAUUGAAGCCCCAGUAAACGGCGGCCGUAACUAUAACGGUCCUAAGGUAGCGAAAUUCCUUGUCGGGUAAGUUCCGACCUGCACGAAUGGUGUAAUGAUCUGGACGCUGUCUCAACCGUGAGCUCAGUGAAAUUGUAGUAUCGGUGAAGAUGCCGAUUACCCGCGAUGGGACGAAAAGACCCCGUGAACCUUUACUAUAGCUUAACAUUGAAUUUGGGUAAUUGAUGUGUAGGAUAGGCCGGAGGCUU